GUGUUUGCUUCGGCAGCACAUAUACUAAAAUUGGAACGAUACAGAGAAGCUUAGCAUGGCCCCUGUGCAAAGAUGACACGCAAAUUCGUGAAGCGUUCCAUAUUUUU
ensembl:snRNA U6 U6 spliceosomal RNA